UACACUCCUACGGGAGGCAGCAGUGGGGAAUCUUGCGCAAUGGGCGAAAGCCUGACGCAGCCAUGCCGCGUGAAUGAUGAAGGUCUUAGGAUUGUAAAAUUCUUUCACCGGGGACGAUAAUGACGGUACCCGGAGAAGAAGCCCCGGCUAACUUCGUGCCAGCAGCCGCGGUAAUACGAAGGGGGCUAGCGUUGCUCGGAAUUACUGGGCGUAAAGGGAGCGUAGGCGGACAUUUAAGUCAGGGGUGAAAUCCCGGGGCUCAACCUCGGAAUUGCCUUUGAUACUGGGUGUCUUGAGUAUGAGAGAGGUGUGUGGAACUCCGAGUGUAUAGGUGAAAUUCGUAGAUAUUCGGAAGAACACCAGUGGCGAAGGCGACACACUGGCUCAUUACUGACGCUGAGGCUCGAAAGCGUGGGGAGCAAACAGGAUUAGAUACCCUGGUAGUCCCAU
rnacentral:rRNA from 1 species